GAAGAACAAAGAGAACAUCAAUGAAAAGAUUUGAUUUUUGUACAAUUGACUUUACAAACUUGUUUAUUAUCUUCAAUAUGGAGCUAUUAACUUGUAUUUAUGCCUUCUAUCAACCUUAGAGUCGUUUGGAGACAUUGGGAGUAAACUAAAGUCAUUCCAGCAAUAAAUUCAAGCAUUAACUGCAUACUGUAGACUAGAGGUGAUCAUGGAUCGGGCCGGGCCCAUAUAAAAUUUUAGGCCCGUUUUCUAGGCUGGGCUCCGAAAUAUGGGCAUAAAAAUUUAUCCAAGCCCGGCCCGAAAGAAAAUUGCUAAGCCCGAGCCCGGCUUGGUCCAUAUUAAAUUUUACAACACCAAAAUAGCAUAUUUUAAAAAGAAAAUAGCAUAUUAAAUUUUAAAAAGUAUAUUUGAUUAAAAAUAAAUAUAUAUUUAAUAUAUAAUUCGGGCCGGGCUGAGCCCAGGCAAAAAAAUUUUACCCGAGGCCCG
rnacentral:lncRNA from 1 species